AUGCACGCUGGCGGCGUGCCUCAUACAUGCCAGUCGAGCGAACGGACGAGAAGCUUGCUUCUCUGAUGUUAUCGGCGGACGGGUGAGUAACACGUGGAUAACCUACCUAUAAGACUGGGAUAACUUCGGGAAACCGGAGCUAAUACCGGAUAAUAUUUUGAACCGCAUGGUUCAAAAGUAAAAGACGGUCUUGCUGUCACUUAUAGAUGGAUCCGCGCUGCAUUAGCUAGUUGGUAAGGUAACGGCUUACCAAGGCAACGAUGCAUAGCCGACCUGAGAGGGUGAUCGGCCACACUGGAACUGAGACACGGUCCAGACUCCUACGGGAGGCAGCAGUAGGGAAUCUUCCGCAAUGGGCGAAAGCCUGACGGAGCAACGCCGCGUGAGUGAUGAAGGUCUUCGGAUCGUAAAACUCUGUUAUUAGGGAAGAACAUAUGUGUAAGUAACUGUGCACAUCUUGACGGUACCUAAUCAGAAAGCCACGGCUAACUACGUG
rnacentral:rRNA from 1 species